rnacentral:RNase_MRP_RNA from 2 species
UCCUCGCUGAAAGAAUCGCAAUCAAAGCUUACACACUGACGGUCUCGCACUGUCUAGCACAUACAGCUUUGGGAGAAAGUCCCCGGACACCCUGACCUUCGUGCCAGGAUUGCGGAAACGCGCCGCCAUAGAAGCACAUACAGCGGCUUAUCUUGCCUGCGACUUCCAUCCCUCUUCGCACGCCCAGCCUACCGUUUGCACUCCCGCUCAGAUGCCAUCUCGCUCGGACUGGUGGAGCUUAGAGACCGCUUGCUUGCAAGUGCCGGCAACGGAGACAAGGAUAUGAGUCUGCGCUCUCUGCUUCUGCCGGUCUCUGCUGCGUUGGGGCGGACGAGUGGGAGGAGGUGGGUAGGAGCGUUAUGAGGAGACAAGUUGGGUUCAUAUGUCGCAGACGAGAGCUCUUCGUCGCGGUCGAUAGAUAUGCGAUUGCCUGUUUGAAGGCUGUCCGCAGCGGGCACGUAUCACUCGAUUAGUGUCUUGCCGUGGACCGGCUGGGAACGGGUAACUCGAUGGGGCUUAUUCUUCAUGCGAGG